GAUGAACGCUGGCGGCGUGCCUAAUACAUGCAAGUCGAGCGAACAGACGAGGAGUUUGUUCCUCUGACGUUAGCGGCGGACGGGUGAGUAACACGUGGAUAACCCACCUAUAAGACUGGGAUAACCUCGGGAAACCGGAGCUAAUACCGGAUAAUAUAUUGAACCGCAUGGUUCAAUAGUGAAAGACGGUUUUGCUGUCACUUAUAGAUGGAUCCGCGCCGCAUUAGCUAGUUGGUAAGGUAACGGCUUACCAAGGCAACGAUGCGUAGCCGACCUGGGAGGGUGAUCGGCCACACUGGAAGUGGGACACGGUCCAGGCUCCUGCGGGAGGCAGCAGUAGGGAAUCUUCCGCAGUGGGCGAGAGCCUGACAGAGCAACGCCGCGUGAGUGAUGAAGAUCUUCGGAUCGUGAAACUCUGUUAUUAGGGAAGAACAAAUGUGUGAGUAACUGUGCACGUCUUGACGGUACCUACUCAGAAAGCCACGGCUAACUACGUG
rnacentral:rRNA from 1 species